UGCGAAAGAAUGCCGAAUGUUUGCGUCAUCUUCUUUGGUAUUUUCGUUGUGCUCAAUAUCGGCAGAGCACGUGGCAGGGCAAGUAGGAUGGAUGUCGCGAUCGGUGCCAAUUCACAGAAGAUUCGAUCUUCUCUGCUUCGGAGAACGAAGAACUCCAGUAACGAUUUCAAGCGGGGAGAGAAAUCGAAAAGGCAGCCCAUACGAAGUACGGCGACGCGGUUUCUAGAAACCCUUGGUUCCGAAUUUGGAGCAAAGUGUGGGUGGGACUCAUGCGUGGAUCUCGAUCGACGAGGCGGAAGAGAUUCCACCAAUGAGUAAAAUUCCGGUCCUGCCCGCAGCAGGAAUGCAUAAGCCUGCUGCCAGGUGAUUUCCUUGAAACUUUAGACAAAGCUGGUUCUUUGGAUAACUCCAUGAAAGACUCAGGAAUAUGUGGAUGAAUCGCACACUGCCUAUUUUCGAAUGAGACACAGAGUUAUCGGCUUAUGCAUCUGUUAAAUCAAGGCAAGUAUAUCUGCUUCUGCUAUGGAAACCAUUUACAGACUGAGUGAUUGGGUAUGCAGUUGUUAUGGACUUGUGGUGGUCAUUUUUAGCGUCUAUUGCUUCUACGUCAGUUCAAUCAAGGCAAAUGUGUUCACUGCUGCUCGAUCUUGAAACCAGGCACAAGUGAUUGGCUUCUACCUCAUUUGAAUUAAGGGACAUGUGUCCACUGCCACUUCUACGCCAGCUGGUUGCACAUCAUUGGUUUCUUCCAUCCGUUGAGGCUGAUAACCUGAAAGAUGAAUGAUGUUUCUCGAUGCCUUUUCUUAUGUGUUCAUAGCAGUUGCUAUUUGGAGUACUGCAGAUCAAGCUAUGCUCACAUCAGCUAAAGAAAGAGAUCUUCUGUAUGCAAUAACAUUCUUGAUUGGUCCGUACUUCAUGCAUGUUUCUGAAAUCUCUGCUAUAAUUCCAGAGCAUUGCAUCGAUCCGUUUCUCUGGUUUCAAGUGCGCAAAUGAAAUAUCAUACUUAGGUCACUUUUUCAAGACUUCAGGACUAAUUGUUACUCACUCUUACCAAUUUGUGACAUCAUAGGAGUAUGACCUACAUGGUCAGAGAACGAUCUAGGCAAUCUAUCAUAGUGGACGGCACGUUAUGGAAGAACUUGCAGCAAGUACUGCGUGGUCAAGAUGAUGAUAUACUUCUUCUUGGACUCUAUCAGUAAAUCACUUUAUUUUCUUGUUCCUA